AGAGUUUGAUCCUGGCUCAGAUUGGACGCUGGCGGCAUGCCUAACACAUGCAAGUCGAACGGUAACAGCAGAGCUUGCUCUGGCUGACGAGUGGCGGACGGGUGAGUAAUAAAUAGGAAUCUGCCCUAUAGUGGGGGACAACCUGGGGAAACUCAGGCUAAUACCGCAUAAUCUCUACGGAGGAAAGGGGGCUUCGGCUCUCGCUAUUGGAUGAGCCUAUUUCUGAUUAGCUAGUUGGUAGGGUAAAAGCCUACCAAGGCAACGAUCAGUAGCUGGUCUGAGAGGAUGAUCAGCCACACUGGGACUGAGACACGGCCCAGACUCCUACGGGAGGCAGCAGUGGGGAAUAUUGGACAAUGGGGGAAACCCUGAUCCAGCAAUGCCGCGUGGGUGAAGAAGGCUCGCGGGUUGUAAAGCCCUUUCAGUAGUGAGGAAAAGCUAAUGGUUAAUACCCAUUAGUCUUGACGUUAACUACAGAAGAAGCACCGCUAACU
rnacentral:rRNA from 1 species